CCCAAGCCCUUUGGAGGAGUCUAGAAAAUGGUUCCUGCUUUGAGUUCCUACCUUGGCUUUGCUUGAUGAUGGACCUCUAAGCCAGGUGAAUCCUUCUUCCUUUGCUUGAUGAUGGACCUCUAAGCCAGGUGAAUCCUUCUUCCUUUGCUUGAUGAUGGACCUCUAAGCCAAGUGAAUCCUUCUUCAUAAGUUGUUUUUAGUCAGUGUUUUUAUCCCAGCAACAGAGAAAGUAAACUGGAAUAGUCUGAAAUGCUUUUCUAGAGAUGUUUCAUAUUUUCUAAUUUAUAUAUUAUCUCAGGACUAUAUAUGACUUGAUUUGAAACUUGUGGGUUGAAUUUAAAGUCCUCAUUUUCUUUUCUCUGGGAGAUUUCUUUGACUAUAUCUUCUAAGUGCUUAUUAAAAUUGUAACAAUUCUA